rnacentral:rRNA from 1 species
UACGUAGGCAGCAAGCGCUGUUCGGAAUUACUGGGCGUAAAGAGUGUGUAGGCGGUGCUCCAAGUCUGGUGUGAAAUCUCCCGGCUUAACUGGGAGGGUGCAUUAGAAACUGGAAUGCUAGAGGAUGGGAGAGGUAAGCGGAAUUCCUGGUGUAGCGGUGAAAUGCGUAGAUAUCAGGAGGAACACCUGCGGUGUAGACAGCUUACUGGACCAUUUCUGACGCUGAGACACGAAAGCGUGGGUAGCAAACAGG